UGUUUACUGGCGUUAUCGCUUGUCGACCCUUUGCCUCCGAAGCCAAAGGUCGCGCGUUCGAGUCGCGCCGGUUGCACCA
rnacentral:tRNA from 1 species